CCUACGGUAGGCUGCAGUGGGGAAUAUUGCUCAAUGGGGGAAACUCUGAUGCAGCGACGCCGCGUGAGUGAAGCCGGAUUUCUGUAUUUAAAGCUCUAUCAGCACGGAAGAAAAUGACGGUACCUGAUUAAGAAGCCCCGGCUAACUCCGGGCCAGCAGCCGCGGUAAUACGUAGGGGGCAAGCGUUAUCCGGAUUUACUGGGUGUAAAGGGAGCGUAGACGGCAGCACAAGUCUGGAGUGAAAUGCCGGGGCUUAACCCCGGAACUGCUUUGGAAACUGUGGAGCUAGAGUGGAGUAGCGGUAAGUGGAAUUCAUGGUGUAGCGGUGAAAUGCGUAGAGAUUAGGCGGAACACCAGUGGCGAAGGCGGCUUACUAAACUAUAACUGACGUUGAGGCUCGAAAGCGUGGGGAGCAAACAGGAUUAGAUACCCCAGUAGUC
rnacentral:rRNA from 1 species